AUUGAACGCUGGCGGCAGGCCUAACACAUGCAAGUCGAGCGAGCGGCGGAAGGGUGAGUAAUGUAUGGGGAACUGCCCGAUAGAGGGGGAUAACUACUGGAAACGGUGGCUAAUACCGCAUACUAUCGGAUGAACCCAUCUGGGAUUAGCUAGUAGGUGGGGUAAAGGCUCACCUAGGCGACGAUCCCUAGCUGGUCGGAGAGGAUGAAAAGCCACACUGGAACUGAGACACGGCCCAGACUCCUACGGGAGGCAGCAGUGGGGAAUAUUGCACAAUGGGCGCAAGCCUGAUGCAGCCAUGCCGCGUGUAGGAAGAAGGCCUUAGGGUUGUAAAGUACUUUCAGCGAGGAGGCGUUACCCGCAGAAGAAGCACCGGCUAACUCCGUGCCAGCAGCCGCGGUAAUGC
rnacentral:rRNA from 1 species